UGCUCGGCCUGGGUAUUGCACCCAGGACUCUUGUAUGCUAGUCGAGCGCGUGACCGACUAAGCUACCGAGC
rnacentral:tRNA from 1 species